CAGAUGAUGCCACAGCCAAGCGCACGGCCUCUCGCUGAAAACACCCGCGGUUUGUGUCUAACGGACAGAUCAGCGGACAAACCUGCAGCCACUAACUACACAGGACAUCAGCUUCGUCUGCGGACAUUAAAUAACCACAUUUAGCGGCUGUUUCGCUGCCACUGAACUAACUUCAGAGGCUUGUUAUUAACGUCGGCUCUGUAAACAUCGUCGGAACGUAUAAUUUCAGCCGUCUCGGCAGUGCCCGUUGUUUUUAACAGCCGUUUAACGUUACGGCAGCCUCGAGUGUGACAUAAACGUCUAAACUCACCAGUGUUUUGUUUCCAGCGACGGGCCAGCUGUUUGCAGGAAGCUCCACAGUUAUUGCAGGAUAUACCCGAGCCAGUUGAUCCGUUAACGCUGCGCAACAUGCUAGUACGAGGGAAAUGUAGUUUUUAAAACGUGUAGUUGGACACAUGACGGAACGGCUUCUUCCAUCAACCAGAACUACAUUUCCCAUGAGGCAACGCGGUGGCCAAACAAGUUCAGCGAGGGUGGAGUGAAAAUCCCCGUGCGGCUGAGGUAGAGCACCAGGGAGGCAUUCUGCAGGCCUACUGGAUUGCAGCGCACGGUGUAGUUAACGGCGUGGCUGGAGGUGAAGGCUGGUCGGCCCCAGUGCAGAAAGACGGCGGUGGAACUGUUGGUCUUAGCAUACACGUUGUGUGGAGGAGGUGGAGGGGGCACCAAGCGAUCUCGAACAGCUGAGAGGCGACACAAAAAUUGAAUUGAAAGCUGGAGAGAAACAAUGCCCACAAAUUGAGGACAGGACUUCUCUCUGUAGCCUACAACUGGUAGCUGCGUGUGGACCUGGACGAACAGCUGAAGUUUGUACAAGACACUGUCGUGACAUCACUCCAGGCAGACAUGAUCACCAUCUGAGGGAGUAAAACACCUGAUCGCGUAAGGGAGAUGCGAACGAGAAGAAAUGUGCAGCGUGCCAGGAUAGAGUGUGGAAAAUAUUAUGUGAGCUCAUAGAAGUUGGCUAUAGAGGUU